GGCAGCGAAGGAGCAGGUCUCCUCCUGAGUCUCCAUCCCGGACAAGACACCAGACAGAGAGAAGCCGACAGUCCCGCCUCUCCGCUCCUGAAGUUACGACCGUCUACUGUGAGACCAAGAGAACAUGAUGAGCCUGAAAAGACUGGCUGUCCUGGACGCACAGGAUCCGUCAGGAGUUGAUGGAGAGACCUGCAACAGCCGGUGCUGCAGCAAUGACGUCCAUGUUCACCAAACACAAAGUACAAACAAAAGACACAGGGAACAACUGACCAGACCAAACCACGCUCCAUCACA